rnacentral:rRNA from 1 species
UACGUAGGGUGCAAGCGUUGCCCGGAUUUAUUGGGCGUAAAGGGCGCGUAGGCGGCUCGGCACGUCCGUUGGGAAAUCGCCCGGCUCAACUGGGCGGGGUCGGCGGAUACGGCCGAGCUGGAGCAAGCUAGGGGGUAAUGGAAUUCCCGGUGUAGUGGUGGAAUGCGUAGAUAUCGGGAGGAACACCAGUGGCGAAGGCGGUUACCUGGAGCUUUGCUGACGCUGAUGCGCGAAAGCGUGGGGAGCGAUCCGG